rnacentral:tRNA from 1 species
UGCGCCCGUAGCUCAAUUGGAUAGAGCAUCUGACUACGGAUCAGAAGGUUGCAGGUUCGACUCCUGCCGGGCGCGA